rnacentral:lncRNA from 1 species
UAAAGAUAUAUCAGUGUUGUUAAUUGCAGAUGCAACUAAUACUAUUGUAAUUUAUUGCAUACACUUAUAAGAAAAGGAAAUUCUAUAUUUAAUUAGCAGUCAAUGAAAAUAAUGAGUUGAUUUUUCUCAUCCAAGCACACAGAUCCCCUGAAAUCUUUCCAUGGACUCUCAAGGGAAAGAUUUCAGGGAAUCUGUGAUUUAGAGCUUUGUUUAAAAAAAGUUUUUUACACAUUGUUUGGACUAAGCUGUAAAAAAUAAAAAGUAUAUUACACCAUUAUCAGUUAUUUCUUAAAGCAUGGUUAUUUGUAUAAAUUUAUACAAAUAAAUAUGGCAAGCCAAGAAGUCUAGGCCUGCCAUUUUAAUAUAUGCUCACCUGAUUUAAACCUCCUUGUCUUAUUGUAUUUUACAGUGUGAUCUAUGUUUAGCUAAACUCAAAAAGAAAAAUGGAAGAGAAACUAAUUUUUUAUUAACCUUUGAGAGAGAACUUACCAUAUUCUAUAUGCUUAGCAAUGAUGAAAAUACUUACAGCAUACCUUUAGCUUCUGAUAUUUAUGCCUUCCUAGCAUAUAAUUUCUCUACUUGCUCUCAAGAGGAAUAUAUCAGAAAGAUCCAUAGAAAGUUGUCUGAUAGACAAAGAGAACAUAGAAAUGAUAUUUUUAAAGCUAAGCUGUCAACGUCUCUUGCUUGCAGAUUCUAUGAAUAUAACUUAUGUAUGGACUGGCAUUGUACUAAAGUAGUUAGAUCACUUUCAUGGCUUGCAGAUGGCAACAUAGCAGAAGCUAUAAGAAUAAACUAUUGAGAAAUUGUUUAUUCUUAUAGC